AUUGAACGCUGGCGGCAUGCCUUACACAUGCAAGUCGAACGGCAGCACGGGGGCAACCCUGGUGGCGAGUGGCGAACGGGUGAGUAAUGCAUCGGAACGUGCCCCGUAGCGGGGGAUAACCAGUCGAAAGACUGGCUAAUACCGCAUACGCUCCACGGAGGAAAGCAGGGGAUCGCAAGACCUUGCACUAUGGGAGCGGCCGAUGCCCGAUUAGCUAGUUGGUGAGGUAAAGGCUCACCAAGGCGACGAUCGGCAGCUGGUUUGAGAGAACGACCAGCCACACUGGGACUGAGACACGGCCCAGACUCCUACGGGAGGCAGCAGUGGGGAAUUUUGGACAAUGGGCGCAAGCCUGAUCCAGCCAUGCCGCGUGC
rnacentral:rRNA from 1 species